AUUUGAGAGUUUGAUCCUGGCUCAGGACGAACGCUGGCGGCGUGCCUAAUACAUGCAAGUUGAGCGCUGAAGGUUGUACUUGUACCAACUGGAUGAGCAGCGAACGGGUGAGUAACGCGUGGGGAAUCUGCCUUUGAGCGGGGGACAACAUUUGGAAACGAAUGCUAAUACCGCAUAAAAACUUUAAACACAAGUUUUAAGUUUGAAAGAUGCAAUUGCAUCACUCAAAGAUGAUCCCGCGUUGUAUUAGCUAGUUGGUGAGGUAAAGGCUCACCAAGGCGAUGAUACAUAGCCGACCUGAGAGGGUGAUCGGCCACAUUGGGACUGAGACACGGCCCAAACUCCUACGGGAGGCAGCAGUAGGGAAUCUUCGGCAAUGGACGAAAGUCUGACCGAGCAACGCCGCGUGAGUGAAGAAGGUUUUCGGAUCGUAAAACUCUGUUGGUAGAGAAGAACGUUGGUGAGAGUGGAAAGCUCAUCAAGUGACGGUAACUACCCAGAAAGGGACGGCUAACUACGUGCCAGCAGCCGCGGUAAUACGUAGGUCCCGAGCGUUGUCCGGAUUUAUUGGGCGUAAAGCGAGCGCAGGUGGUUUAUUAAGUCUGGUGUAAAAGGCAGUGGCUCAACCAUUGUAUGCAUUGGAAACUGGUAGACUUGAGUGCAGGAGAGGAGAGUGGAAUUCCAUGUUAGCGGUGAAAUGCGUAGAUAUAUGGAGGAACACCGGUGGCGAAAGCGGCUCUCUGGCCUGUAACUGACACUGAGGCUCGAAAGCGUGGGGAGCAAACAGGAUUAGAUACCCUGGUAGUCCACGCCGUAAACGAUGAGUGCUAGAUGUAGGGAGCUAUAAGUUCUCUGUAUCGCAGCUAACGCAAUAAGCACUCCGCCUGGGGAGUACGACCGCAAGGUUGAAACUCAAAGGAAUUGACGGGGGCCCGCACAAGCGGUGGAGCAUGUGGUUUAAUUCGAAGCAACGCGAAGAACCUUACCAGGUCUUGACAUACUCGUGCUAUUCCUAGAGAUAGGAAGUUCCUUCGGGACACGGGAUACAGGUGGUGCAUGGUUGUCGUCAGCUCGUGUCGUGAGAUGUUGGGUUAAGUCCCGCACGAGCGCAACCCCUAUUGUUAGUUGCCAUCAUUAAGUUGGGCACUCUAACGAGACUGCCGGUGAUAAACCGGAGGAAGGUGGGGAUGACGUCAAAUCAUCAUGCCCCUUUGACCUGGGCUACACACGUGCUACAAUGGAUGGUACAACGAGUCGCGAGACAGUGAUGUUUAGCUAAUCUCUUAAAACCAUUCUCAGUUCGGAUUGUAGGCUGCAACUCGCCUACAUGAAGUCGGAAUCGCUAGUAAUCGCGGAUCAGCACGCCGCGGUGAAUACGUUCCGGGCCUUGUACACACCGCCCGUCACACCACGGGAGUUGGGAGUACCCGAAGUAGGUUGCCUAACCGCAAGGAGGGCGCUUCCUAAGGUAAGACCGAUGACUGGGGUGAAGUCGUAACAAGGUAGCCGUAUCGGAAGGUGCGGCUGGAUCACCUCCUUU
rnacentral:rRNA from 1 species